rnacentral:rRNA from 1 species
UGUAAGCGUAUACCAAAGUUGUUGCAGUUAAAACGCUCGUAGUCGGAAUUUGGCAGUUCCGGAUGUGUGCACGUCGUGUGCGCACUUCGCGGGGAUUGCUUUUGUGGUCUUGCGUAGGAUGAGGCACUUUUAUUAGUGAACGUCCUCACGCAACCACUUUUUACUGUGAGAAAAUCAGAGUGCUCAAAGCAGGCAUUUGCCGUGAAUGUAUUAGCAUGGAAUAAUAGAAUAGGACUUGGUUCUAUUUUGUUGGUUUGUUGGGACUGAGUAAUGAUUAAGAGGGACAGUUGGGGGCAUUUGUAUUUCAGUGCUAGAGGUGAAAUUCUUAGAUUACCGAAAGACAAACUGCUGCGAAAGCGUCUGCCAAGGAUGUUUUCAUUGA